rnacentral:rRNA from 1 species
UGCGUAGGCGGUUAGAUAAGUCAGAGGUGAAAGCCCGCAGCUCAACUGUGGAAUUGCCUUUGAUACUGUUUGACUUGAAUCAAGUUGAGGUUGGCGGAAUGUGACAUGUAGCGGUGAAAUGCAUAGAUAUGUCAUAGAACAUCAAUUGCGAAGGCAGCUAACUAGACUUGUAUUGACGCUGAGGCACGAAAGCGUGGGGAGCGAACAGGAUUAGAUACCCUGGUAGUCC